UACAGAGGUCUCAAGCGUUGUUCGGAUUCAUUGGGCGUAAAGGGUGCGUAGGCGGCGCGGUAAGUCGGGUGUGAAAUCUUGGAGCUUAACUCCGAAACUGCAUUCGAUACUGCCGUGCUUGAGGACUGGAGAGGAGACUGGAAUUUACGGUGUAGCGGUGAAAUGCGUAGAUAUCGUAAGGAGGACCAGUGGCGAAGGCGGGUCUCUGGACAGCUCCUGACGCUGAGGCGCGAAGGCUAGGGGAGCAAACGGG
rnacentral:rRNA from 1 species